rnacentral:rRNA from 1 species
UUAAAUUGAAGAGUUUGAUCAUGGCUCAGAUUGAACGCUGGCGGCAGGCCUAACACAUGCAAGUCGAACGGUAACAGGAAGCAGCUUGCUGCUUCGCUGACGAGUGGCGGACGGGUGAGAAAUGUC